rnacentral:rRNA from 1 species
CCUACGGGUGGCUGCAGUGAGGAAUAUUGGUCAAUGGGCGCGAGCCUGAACCAGCCAAGUAGCGUGAAGGAUGACUGCCCUACGGGUUGUAAACUUCUUUUAUAAAGGAAUAAAGUGAGGCACGUGUGCCCUUUUGUAUGUACUUUAUGAAUAAGGAUCGGCUAACUCCGUGCCAGCAGCCGCGGUAAUACGGAGGAUCCGAGCGUUAUCCGGAUUUAUUGGGUUUAAAGGGAGCGUAGAUGGGUUGUUAAGUCAGUUGUGAAAGUUUGGGGCUCAAACCUCAAAUUGCAUUUGAUACUGGCAGCCUUGAGUUGAGUUGAGGUAGGCGGAAUGCGUGGUGUAGCGGUGAAAUGCAUAGAUAUCACGAAGAACUCCGAUUGCGAAGGCAGCAUACUAACCUGCCACUGACAUUGAUGCUCGAAAGUGUGGGUAUCGAACAGGAUUAGAUACCCGAGUAGUC